rnacentral:rRNA from 1 species
UUUUUUUCCCAAAAAAAACGUUGGUAAUAAAGAAUAAAGAACGGAUAUAGUAUAGUGCCUUUGGAAAGCGAAACCUUGCACCUCUCUACCGACUCACCUGAUUUCGCCGCCUAACGAUUAGGCAACAUGUUAAAAAAACAUGGCUCCCAAGCUUAGGGAGAGAAAGGCGAGGGAACCUAGUAAACCCUGAAAGCUUAACCUUUCUUAAGACUGGGGGCCUAAAAGAGUAUCUAUUUACAUGCUUUGUUUAGGUUAUUCUUUUUUUUUGCCUUAAAAAUGAGGAGCGCAGGUCCUAAGGCAGGACCCAGUAAUCUAUUCUUAGGUUUCUAUUUCUCACUUUGUUUCUUAUAGUGAUGACAUAUUUGUUUUUCAAACUCUCAUUCGUAAUGUAUUAGAGGUUCUAAAAAAAAUUCCUUAUCUAAUGGUCAAAAAGGAAUGGUGUGCCUAGGUGAUCCUACCAAAAAAAAACUAUGGAUUUUACUUUUUUACUUAAGAACUUUUUUUAACGUUCUUAAGUAAAUAUUAUUCGUGAGAAUAGUUAUCGUUUUUAUCCCAAUCCACCAAUCCAUAACACAUCCAUGGACGAGUUGGAUCCACGUCCCCUCAUCUUUCCGACUAGGUUUAAAUAACGACAUCGAUGGGUAAGUUACAUCUUCUUAAAUUUAAACUCUUAGCUUCCAAGUAUUAUAUUUUUAUAUUUUGAAGAGCCGAAAAUGGGUAAAAUUUUAAAAAAACCUUACUUGUGUAGUAAGUUAAACCGUAUGUCUCAUGAUUUCUAAAGUAGCUUUUGAAUGUCGUCGAACGGUUUGUUUCCGAUUAUCUUUUUUCUUAUCUCCAUAUUGUCCGUAUUAUAGGUGCUAACCUAACUUUUAUCGUAUUCGAAGCCCAUUAAACCGUUUCUUUUUUGAUCAUCCUAUUUCUUGUCUUAAUUUUGUCUAUGUCCAAUUUGAUUCAUAUAAUCCGUAUUGUUCGUAAAGUAAGAACAUCUCAUUUAUUAACCUAAAAAGAACUCAAUAAAAAAAUUCCCUUUCUUCCUUUUCCGUCUAAGUUUUAGAAAAAAGAAGCCUGAAAGGGUUUGUGUUUUAUGGAGGAACAUAAGCGUGAGAGUUUACUCUCACCUUAUUUAAGCUGAAAGUAUAUUAUAGAAUUAUCUUAAGGUACAUUACUAGUU